rnacentral:lncRNA from 1 species
CAGAAAGCCAAAGGAUGAAAUCCAUAACAUAAAAUAGUAUGUUCUUUAAAGUUAUCAUGUUCUUUUUAAAGCUGACAACCUUUUUUGGGCAUACUGUAAAACAUGGUAUGGUACGAUGGUAUGGUAUGUGUUAUGGUAUGAUGGUAUGGUACGAAUAACAUCAAACCAUGGUAUGCAUGAAUGGUACCAUGGUAUGGUAUGAUGGUAUGGUACACAUUACUAUACCAUUGUACAAAUUAUUAUACCAUGGUUUGGUUUUUCACAAAAGGAAAUUUUGAAAAGUUAAUAAACCUAUUCUUAAACAGGAUUUUAUUAAUUAUCUGUUUUCUUUUCUUUCUUUUUUGACCUAUUCCAAAACAAACUUUUAUUUUUCAAUGAGAAACAGAAACAAGAAUAUUUGUUGAAAAACAAUGUAAACAAAAUAUUCAUUGGUUCAAUUUUUCCAAGACAUUUAGAAUCAAAACAAUUAAUUUAGAAAAGAAUUGCCCACACACAUUUAAAAGCUGAGUCAGUCCUUUAGUUAGGAUAUUGACAUACAUUAAGCAAGUUAAGAACUUCAUGAAGUUGUUAGCAAAAAUUAAAAUUGAUAAAACCUUGAUUUAUUCUUACACUUUCCUUGCCACCUAGUAAAACUAUCAUGCUGAAGAAAAAAAGCCAAAGUGUGGUUGGUGAUUAGUUGUAGUUAUAGUAAGAAUGUAAUCUGCUGUGACUGCAAGUUUUGUUCAAUUAAAGGACUUUUGUAUUGCUAUUUUUUUUUAUUGCCAGCAAAUAGUAUCACUUAUUUUUGCCUUGGGCUGUUUUCUACUUUCUGGUCGGGUUGUUGUUUCUUUGACACAUUCCUCAUUUCCAUUCUAAAUUUUAUGAAGGAUUUACUAUACUCAAAGACAGUUACAUAUAUGCUGUUUAUGUCACUCCUUUGAACAAGAAAUAAAUGGACAGCAAAUUUAAUGUGAUUAGCAUGAAUCUUAAAAUUCUUGUAAACAACAGGUACAUGUAAGAUCAGUUCUGUCCCAAAACACUUUAAGUAUCUAAGUAACAGAUUACAGGAAUCCCAUUUUCAUAUAAACAGUAAACAACAUUUCAAAUUUUAACAGAACAGAUAACAGCCAGUGAGUUGAAAACAGUUAACAGUUUAAUUUUGUCUCAAAUAAAUGUUAAAAACAAAAAGGCAACAGGUUGAUACCAAAAAGGUAUUGCACGGGAAAUCUGUGAUAUACUUAAUUGUGUUAAAAUAUUCAAAAUAAUGAAUCAAAUACUUUCUGCAUUACAUAAUAUUCUAUCAUGGCAGAGUAUUCAUAAUAUUCGAUGGAACAUUAGAUCAUAGAUGAAAUAAUAGAUUUUUUUCGUCUAGCAAAUUAUUAUAACCCUUUAUUAAAGCUCAAACGAAAAAAUGUCGUUCUUAGAUGAUGGUGUAAUUAAAGGUCAAAUAUUUACAACACAUGGCAAUUAUAAUUGACCUUGAAAUACAUUUUAAAGAAACCUAUUCUGAUCUCUAUCUGCACAGAAAUAGCUGUCACUCUCAGCAUGUAUUAAAAAAAAUGAAAUAAAGUUGUUUAAUAAAAUCUCACAUAAUAAGAAAAAGACUCAUUCCUUGGUUGAUAUUGUAUAUUAACUUCCAUAAUGCACAUUGUUUUUACAUAUAAAUGAAGAAAACAAAAUACACUCUACAACAUGUGGUAUCUAUCAACUAACAAAGUAUUAUAUUAGUGACAGUUUGAUUUGAAAUUUGAUGUUUUCUAAUCCACACAGUAUUCACCUAUUAUUCACAUUUUUAGUGGAAUUUCAUUGCCAUAGAUGUAGACAGAAUAUGCAACUGUUUAAAGUGUCAUAUUUCAAAACAAUAUAAAAGUUGACCAUUAACAGAAGGUUAUGCAAUAAAACUUUAACUACAUUACCAGAUUAUAAUCAAAAGAUAUAUUCCAAAAUUUCAAAGAACAAUUGACAGCCAUUUGCAACGUGUCAGAACAGGACAUUAUAUCUAUCUUUUCUUAACUUAAUAGUUAUCUGAGAUGUUUAAAUUGAGUUUUCUCUGUUUUCUGUUCACAGCUUUAUACAUGUAAGUGAUGGUCUAUCUGGUUUGUCUACAUCUAUUUUGUAAAAUAUUAUUUUCAUAAAUAAAAAAGAUACAUACAUUUGUAAUGUCAACAAAUUAAAAAAAAAUCAUAUUUCAUAUUACCUAAAUUAAUUUUUCAAAAUUUUCUACUUCAAAAAACCAUACCAUGCUUCAUACCAUAAUGUGUACCAUGGUAUAGGAAUUCGUACCAUGGUAUAGGAAUUUGUACCAUACCAUCAUACCAUACCAUGGUACCAUUCAUGCAUACCAUGGUAUGACGGUAUUCGUACCAUACCAUCAUACCAUAACACAUACCAUACCAUCGUACCAUAUCAUGUUUUACAGUAUGCCCCUUUUGUGUACUCGUUAAAAGUGCGAUGACCAAUCGCAUUUUCCGAUAAAUUAUGAAAAACGGAUGAUGCAAUCCAAUAUGAGUGCACGCUAAAUUAUUUUGUAAAAACGUCAAUGUUUUAAUAACAAUGUCACAACAGGCCAUGACAUGGUAAAAUUAAUGUCAAACAGUUGAGGAACUCUCUGAUUUAUGUACAACACAAACAAAAAAUAAAAAAAUAAAAUUCCACUACAACCGACAUUCACUAAGUUGCGGGCUUUCAUUUUAAUAGAAAAAGAGAGGCGAAAUAUACCAAAGGAACAAUCAAUCACAUAAGUCGAAAAUGAAUUUACAAGGCCAUGUUAAAAAGAAACGACCUAUAGACAAACAAAGAGAAAAAUAAAGGGACUGGAGAUGAGAAUUUGAGAACUAUCAACUAUCAAUUAAUUAAUACACAAACACGUAUCGGUAUAUAAACCUAUCUACUGUGUACUUUUCCUCGAAGUUCGUUUAUCUUGUAAUUUUUAGCAUUAAAGUCUAUUCAAAACCUUUGAACUUUUAAGCAGUUACCAACUGAAAAUAUUCUUCGAUCUAUUUUGUUUUUUUUUUCUUUUUAAAUGCUUCAAAUUGUGUAGGUUUGUUUGUAAUUUACUGUGAGGUUCAACAGUUGAUCAUUGUUGAAAGUCGUAAGGAGCCCUCAUGGGCCCUUAUGAUAUUAACAUGUCUUCCCUGGGUCUUGAUGGAAAAUUAUUUGGUAUACAUACAUUUGUUACAGUAUACAUUGGAAAUAAAAGGGACUGAAAUAAUUCUAUUUUUUUUAUUAGCAGAAAGUUGGAUUUAGAUCCAUAAUAACUAAAAUCCAGUACACACUGAUUCUGAUUAUCUUAUCAUAAAUAUAUGGAACAUCAAAUGGAUCAUACUUUCUAUCAGAGGCGAGAAUAUCUCAGCAAAAAUGUAUGUAGUAUAACUCCAGAUUGUACGAAAUUAAUGUUUAAUAUCACAUUUAAAUAUUAUUACGUAUUUUUUUUCAAACUCUAAAUUUCACUGGAUAAGUAGGUUGCCAGGCCACGUCCACUCUGUGUUUUUGUUAUACGUCUUUCUAUUUGUAUCCAUCUAAUGAGUUGAGCCUUUUAAAAUGAUCGUGUACUGUUGCACCACUGUCCUAGGUUAGGGGAGGGUUGGGAUCUCGCUAAUAUGUUAAACCCCGACUUGGACAUUACAAUUGCAUUGAUAAUACUUUGUUUCAAAUUACAGAAAAGAAAUCUAGAAUCUGCUUAAAUUUUGAUAAAUAGCAUAUUUUGACGUAUGAAGUCUUAUAUGCAUAGAAAAUGGAUGUAAAAGAGAAAAUAGUUUACCCUGUAUUAUAGCGAAAAACGAUGGAAUCCGGACAUUUGACGUCUGUCCUUCAUCUUACAUUAGAACAUCUUAAAAUGUUUAUAUUUUACAGCAUUAUCUUGUGUGUCUAUGGUAUUAUUUGCAACACCAACAAAGGAUAUCAUGCACAGUGAAAGCCGGCAACCUGAGGAUAGUCCUUCUGGUAUCAAAUACUUCAACACCUGUGAAUUUUGACCUCAAUGAGAGCACAACGGAAUACAGUUCAGUUUAUGAAAAAUACGAAACAGAUCAUCAACAAAAACAUAUGUUUGUAAUGUCAUAUUACAGAAUUCAAACCUGUUUUUGUUUUUU